rnacentral:lncRNA from 12 species
CCUUGAUUCAGCUCAUCCAAACAAAAUUCCAUACUCUCUGUCAUCAAUGUGAAAUUUCUCUUCAAAAUCAGCAACAAAUGAAACAUGAGUGGACGUAGGAAAGGACGUGUUUUUCUCAUUGGUUUUCCUGAUAAUAAUUGCCUGUUUUCCCAUUUACCCUUAGCCUCGUCAGAAACCCUUCACCACCUCCAUAGAUCCAUCCUACCAGAGGUCACAGAUCACACAAAACCUACAGAAACAGGAAAUCAAACUUCCUGAGUCCACUACAAAACACAGAGACCUAUUUCCUCUACACAUCUCAAAUUGGCAAAACCGUGUCUUAGCGGAUUCAGUGUGGAAGCAGCUGUUGAAAAGACUAGGAGGACUAUAUCUCCCAAUUUCACAUGAGCUUUCUCACUUCAAACUACUGAGAUGAAGGGAGCAGGGCUAUUUAUUCUGUUUUUUAGUUUAUGGAAUGGGGGCUUUGGGCUUAUCGACACCACGGACACUUGGACUACCCCUGAGGAUGCAAGCUCCCAGGAGAACAUAGCCUCUGCUACAGUUUCUCAAAAUAAAAUGCUACCAACCCCUCAGAUCACAUCAGCUGAGAUAGCCACAAUUCCUGAGGCAAGAACCUCUGAAGAGAGUCUUCUAAAAUCCACACUGCCUCCUUCAGAGACAGGCACACCUCCUGAGGCUAUGAGAAGCCAAACUCUCACAUCCACAGGGAAGACAGAAGGGCUGCUGAAGUUACAGACUCCUGCCCUCCCAGUCAACCCUAGCCUCCAGUUGAAUCCAAGAGCAGAGUCAGUGGUCCUUACCAACUCUACACUGAAAUUUCUUCAGACCUUCAUCAGAAAGUCGAACCAACAAGCGAUUGCUCCCAAUUCCAUUGAAGGCAGCAUGGGGAAUCGAUCACCACGGGAAACCUACCUCAGCAGAGGUGACAGCAGUGGAAGCCAGAAAACCAACUCUCAAAAAUCAAGUUUUGAAACAACAAGAGGAAAGAAUUGGUGUGCUUAUGUACAUACCAGAUUAUCUCCUACAGUGAUCCUAGACAACCAAGUCACUUAUAUUCCAAAUGGAAGAGGACCCUGUGGCUGGACCAGUGGAUCCUGUCCUCAGAGAUCUCAGAAGAUAUCUAAUCCUGUCUACAGGAUGCAACAUAAAAUCGUUACCUCAUUGGAAUGGAAGUGCUGUCCUGGAUUCAGUGGAGCAAAAUGUCAGCUAAAAGCCCAAGAAGAGCAGCACUUGAUACACAGCAACCAAGCUGAGAGUCACACUGCUGUUGGCAGAGAGACAGCUGAGAAACAGCAGCAGCAAGACUGUGGUGAUCCAGCAGUGACACAAAAGAUGACUGAGCAGAUGAACUACCAGGCAAUGAAACUGACCCUUCUCCAGAAGAAGAUUGACAAUAUUUCUUUGGCUGUGAGUGAUGUAAGGAACACGUACUCCUCCCUAGAAGGAAAAAUCAAUGAAGAUAAAGACAGAGAAUUUCAAUCUUUUCUAAAAGGUCUAAAAUCCAAAAGCAUCAAUGAUCUGGUAAAGAACAUAGUAAGAGAGCAAUUUAAAAUUUUUCAAAAUGACAUGCAAGAGACUGUAGCACAGCUCUUCAAGACUAUAUCGAGCUUAUCAGAGGACCUUGAAAACACCAGACAAAUAAUCCGACAAGUUAAUGAAUCUGUGGUUUCAAUAGCAGUCCAGCAAAAGUCUGUUUUAAUGCAGGAAAACAGGCCCACUUUGACUGAUAUACUAGACCUAAAAAAUCACAUUGUGAAUAUAAGGCAAGAAAUGACUUUUAAAUGUGAAAAGCCUAUUAAAGAACUAGAAGCAAAGCAAACUCAUUUAGAGGGUGCUUUAGAACAGGAACAUUCAUGGAACAUUUUGUAUUAUGAAUCCCUCAACAAGACUCUUUCUAAAAUGAAGGAAGUGCAUGAGCAGCUUUUAUCAACUGAACAAGUAUCAGAUCAGAAGGGUGUUCCAACUGCUGAAUCAGUUAGCAGAAAUGUCACUGAGUACAUGUUUGCUCUACAUGAGAAUAUAAAGAAGCAGGGUUUGAUGAUGCUGCAAAUGUUUGAUGAUUUGCACAUCCAAGACACCAAGAUUAACAAUCUCACCAUUGCUUUGGAGAUGGAGAAAGAAUCUGUCAGGGGUGAAUGUGAAGACAUGUUAUCCAAGUGCAGAAAUGAUUUUAAAUUUCAAAUUAAGGACACAGAAGAGAAUUUACAAGUUUUAAACCAAACAUUGGCUGAAGUUCUCUUUCCAAUGGACAAUAAGAUGGAUAAAAUGAAUGAGCAGCUAAAUGAUUUGACUUAUGAUAUGGAGAUCCUUCAACCGUUGCUUGAGCAGGGAGCACCAUUUAGAGAGACAAUGGUACAUGAACAACCAAAAGAAGCAAUAGCUACAAGAAAAAAAGUGGAAAAUCUGACUAGUUCUGUCAACAGUCUAAAUAUUCUUAUCAAAGAACUUUCAAAAAAACACAAUUUACUUAGGAAUGAAGUUCAGAGUCGUAGUGAUGCCUUGGACAGACGUAUCAAUGAAUAUGCCUUAGAAAUGGAAGAUGGCCUAAAUAACACAAUGACUAUUAUAAAUAAUGCUGUUGAUUUCAUUCAAGAUAACUACGUGCUAAAAGAGACUUUAAGUACAAUACAGUAUAAUCCUGAAGUCCAUCAUCAAUGUACCCAAAAUAUGGAAACUAUUUUGACAUUUAUUCCUCAACUCCGAUAUUUGAAUGAUUCUAUUCAGAUGUUGGUCAAUGACAAUCAGAGAUACAACUUUGUUUUGCAAGUUGCCAAGGUCCUUGCAGAUAUUCCCAAAGAUGAAAAACUAAGUCAGUCUAGCUUUCAGAAGAUUUAUCAAAUGUUCAAUGAAACCACUUCCCAAGUGAUAAAAUAUCAGCAAAAUAUGAGUUAUUUGGAGGAAAAAAUACUCUCAGCCACAAAGAUUUCCAAAAAUUUUGAAACUAAGUUGCAAGAUAUUGAGACAAAAAUUACUAAGACACUCAUACCUUAUUACAUGUCACUAAAAAAAGGUGGUGUGGCUACAAAUGAGAGAGACCAGGCUCUUCAAAUGCAGGUACUAACUUCCAGAUUUAAGGCACUGGAAGCAAAAUCUAUUCACCUCUCAGUUCACUUCACUUCACUUAACAAAACUCUGUAUGAAGUUUUAGUCAUGUGCCAUAAUGCCUCUACACGUAUCUCAGAACUGAAUACAACCAUACCUAAGCAGAUAAAAAGUUCUCUACCAGAUAUUCAGCUUCUUCAGAAAGGUCUCACAGAAUUUGUGGAAUCAAUAACUGAAAUAAAAACUCAAAUUGCCAUAUCUAAUUUAACUUGGUAUAUAAAUCGAACGCUGUCUGAUAGUCUUGCAAAUGUUGUCAGGUCUCAGAAGCAAAUAAAACCAUUGCUGAAGAAACCCAAUUCACUUAAAAAACCAACAGUGAAUCUUACCACUGUCCUGAUAGGCCGGAACCAAAGAAAUACAGACAACAUUCUAGUUCCUGUAACAGAGGAGUAUUCAGACUGUAGUAGCUCCCCAUGCCAAAACGGGGGCACCUGUAUAAAUGGAAGAACUAGCUCUGUCUGUGCUUGCCGACAUCCUUUCACUGGCGACAACUGCACUAUCAAGCUGGUACAGGAAAAUGCUUUAGCUCCAGAUUUUUCCCAAGGAUCAUACAGAUAUGCACCGAUGGUAGCAUUUUUUGCAUCUCACACAUAUGGAAUGACAAUACCUGGUCCUAUCCUAUUUAAUAACUUGGAUGUCAAUUAUGGAGCUUCCUAUACUCCAAGAACUGGAAAAUUCAGAAUUCCUUAUCUUGGGGUGUAUGUGUUUAAGUAUACCAUUGAGUCAUUUAGUGCCCAUAUCUCUGGAUUUUUAGUGGUUGAUGGAAUAGACAAGCUUGCAUUUGAAUCAGAAAAUAUUAACAGUGAAAUACGCUGUGACAGGGUUUUAACUGGGGAUGCCUUAUUAGAAUUAAAUUAUGGGCAGGAAGUGUGGUUGCGACUUGUAAAAGGAACAAUUCCAGCCAAAUUUCCGCCUGCUACUACAUUUAGUGGUUACUUAUUAUACCGUACAUAAAUUAGUAUGAAAGACAGACUAUCACCUUUACUGAGAAGGAACCAGUGUUUUUACUUAUCUUUGCAUGCACAUCUGCUCUGUUUUUGGCUUUUCUACAUGAAAUGAAAAUUAACUUCUUUUUUAAUCUGAAUGAGGCCAUAAGUUUGUUUAUGUCAUAAAAUUAUUUGAAUAUCUUGUGGAUAACCUGUAUAUAAAGAAGUUCUUGCUCCUAAAUAGAUUUAGUGGCAGAGACAAUGAAGUGCAUUUAAUAACAUAACGACUUUUAUUCUCUUGUGUUAAGUCACUUUAUUGUAAUGUAAUAUGAUUAAAUGGCAAUCAUUCAAUUGUGUUGGUCACAGUAGUCUUUCCAAUAAAAUGUUUACCUUUUGUUUAUAGUUCCUAAAU